CAAUUACUCCCUUCGUUCGGAAUUACUUGUCUCGGCAAUGGAUGUAUCUAAAACUAAAAUACGUCUAGAUACAUCCAUUUUCGCGACGAGUAAUUCCGAACAGAGGGAGUACGUG
rfam:Triticum aestivum genome assembly, contig: Triticum_aestivum_CS42_TGACv1_scaffold_129759_2BL